GACGAACGCUGGCGGCGCGCUUAACACAUGCAAGUCGAACGGAAAGGCCUGCUUUCCCUUGUGGAUUGCGGGUACUCGAGUGGCGAACGGGUGAGUAACACGUGAGUGAUCUGCCCCCAACUUGGGUAUAAGCCUGGGAAACUGGGUCUAAUUCCCGAUAGGACUGCAGGGUGGUGCCUGUGGUGGAAAACGAUUUUCUAGUGGUUGGGGAUGAGCUCGCGGCCUAUCAGCUUGUUGGUGGGGUAAUGGCCUACCAAGGCGGCGACGGGUAGCCGGCCUGAGAGGGUGGAUGGCCACAUUGGGACUGAGAUACGGCCCAGACGCCUACGGGAGGCAGCAGUGGGGAAUAUUGCACAAUGGGCGGAAGCCUGAUGCAGCGACGCCGCGUGGGGGAUGACGGCCUUCGGGUUGUAAACUCCUUUCGACCGCGAGGAAGCCACCUGGUUGGAAGGGUGGUGACGGUAGUGGUAGAAGAAGCACCGGCUAACUACGUG
rnacentral:rRNA from 1 species